CCCUUAGAUGUUCUGGGCUGCACGCGCGCUACACUGAUGCGCUCAACGAGUUUACGACCUUGCCCGGAAGGGUUGGGUAAUCUUUUUAAAACGCAUCGUGAUGGGGAUAGAUUAUUGCAAUUAUUAAUCUUUAACGAGGAAUUCCUAGUAAGCGCGAGUCAUCAGCUCGUGCUGAUUACGUCCCUGCCCUUUGUACACACCGCCCGGCGCUCCUACCGAUUGAGUGAUCCGGUGAAUAAUUCGGACUGCAGCAGUGUUCAGUUCCUGAACGUUGCAGCGGAAAGUUUAGUGAACCUUAUCACUUAGAGGAAGGAGAAGUCGUAACA
rnacentral:rRNA from 1 species